rnacentral:rRNA from 1 species
GCAAGUCGAACGAGAACGGAAUAUAGCUUGCUAUAUUUGUCAGCUAAGUGGCGCACGGGUGAGUAAUAUAUAGUUAACCUGCCCUAGAGAGGGGGAUAACGUUUGGAAACGAACGCUAAUACCCUAUAUGCCUUUAAUACAUAAGUAUGCAAGGGAAAUAUUUAUAGCUCUAGGAUGGGACUGUACGGUAUCAGUUAGUUGGUGAGGUAAUGGCUCACCAAGACAAUGACACCUAACUGGUUUGAGAGGAUGAUC